UACGAAGGGGGCUAGCGUUGUUCGGAAUUACUGGGCGUAAAGCGCACGUAGGCGGAUAUUUAAGUCAGGGGUGAAAUCCCGGAGCUCAACUCCGGAACUGCCUUUGAUACUGGGUAUCUCGAGUAUGGAAGAGGUGAGUGGAAUUCCGAGUGUAGAGGUGAAAUUCGUAGAUAUUCGGAGGAACACCAGUGGCGAAGGCGGCUCACUGGUCCAUUACUGACGCUGAGGUGCGAAAGCGUGGGGAGCAAACAGGG
rnacentral:rRNA from 1 species